GCAUGCAUGUGCUUGGUGUCCACGGCUGACGUGCUUGUGUGUCUCAGGGUCAUCACCGGCUCACUGUCCCCUCAUGCCCACUCUGCCGUCUGGGGUAAUCUCUGAUUUCUAUUCCGCUAUCACUGCGUGACUAGUUCUUACUGUGAUUUUGCAGACAAUCCUCCAAGUUCAGCUGUUACUUUUUUUCAGAAGUUAAAUCCGUACUUCACAGCGUAUGGUGUCAGGCAGUGAAUUAGGAAUUGGGACGCCUGCUUCCUGCCCUCAGCUCUAGACACGGACAAGCAGUGUAUUAUUGAGCCACCACUUAUGAUUUCAUCUUCUCCAACAGAAGGAUGUCGAACUAUAUCUUUCAGCACCACGAGAUACAUGAUAAUGACUCUCACUGAUAUUUCUGGUAUAAUGCUUUACAGGGGUAACAAAGCAGUUUUUCCCUUGAAAAAAAAUGUCACAAACCCUUGGGAUGUGGCACAGGGAUGGGCUGGGGACUGAGUGAGCAGUUCUUCCAUCCAGGCCAACUGGAGCUGAGAUUGGAAAUGCUUUGGACCUGGACAGGGCAGCACUGGAGGUGUGCUCAGGGAAUGAGGCUAUGAGGGUGUUGGAAGAAAGUACAAGACUCAUUGGAAAAGACCCUGAUGCUGGGAAAGAUUGAAGACAGGAGGAGAAGGGGACGACAGAGGAUGAGAUGGUUGGAUGGCAUCACUGACUUGACAGACCUGAGUUUGAGCAAGCUCCAGGAGUUGGUGAUGACAGGGAAGCCUGGCAUGCUGCAGUCCGUGGGGUUGCAAAGAGUUGGAUACGACUGAGCAACUGAACAACAACAAGUCACCAUAGCGGACAGGUGGUCCAGGGCCACCAGGCAUCAUAGGAUGCCAUGGACAUUGCCUCAACACCCAAGGCUGUGAGUGAACUUGCAGCUGUGUUCCUUGCAGUGCAUUCUGGAGCCUAUUCUGGAGGCCAGGCUGUCUAGCCCAGAGACUGCACUGGGGCCAAGCAGAGAGGAAGAGUCUUGGGAGCAGCAAAGGCAGGAUUCAGUGAUAGGACUACCAGUUCUCCCCAGCCAGCCAUCUAGGAAUGGAGGAGGAGAACAGCACUGCAGGCUGGGGAGCCCCUGGCCUCUGAGCAGGCGUCAUGUGGCUGAGAUGGCCGCAUCAGUAAGAAAGAGCCUGGGCUCUCUUGGGCCAGGCAGCGCUUUUGUUUAACCAGGUCCGGCUGGCUGCUUUUGUUUUCAGAUAAGUAGUGUUUAGGGGAGAGAGAAAAAAGAGACGUUUCCAUUAUCAGCAGGAUGGGGACUCAAAGUCAUUUAUUUAAUCAGAAGAUUUAAAGGACUAGGAUCUCAUUUUGGAUGCCAAGUUGGGGAAGAAGAAUGCAGUAGGAUUUCGCGUUUUAAAUGUGAUCACAGGCCUUCUCCCUGGAAGCAGAGAGGGACGCAUCUUUGGUUCUUAAAAUUAAACACCAAUAAGAAUUUGAAUCAGUCCGCACCUAGUCAGACUUCUAUGGACAACUUUAUUUCACAAAAGAAAUGUACUCUUUCCCCAGGAAUGGAGGAGGCACGUCUUCACAACAACUGCAGCCCGUAUUGUCCUGGAAUACACACUUUGGAAUAGAAAACUUCCUUGACAAAGUCAACCAGUUAUUGAUUCAGACCCUUUAGAUCAGGGAAAGUUAAUUGCUUCAAAGGUCAUUCUGUUUUUUGAGUACAUAAUUAAGUAAACAGCACCCCGCAGCAGUUGGAAUUAUGUAUAUAUUUUGUACCAGAGCUACCAAAGGCGGUGCCAGCCAAGCCUUCGUCUUUAUUGAAAGCAUAGUUGUGUACUGAGAAAAGGCUUGUGGGCUGGGAACAGGGUUUUAACUGGUAAACAAACAAAUAGCAAGCCAUCAACCAAGCAGAAAGAGAACAGUGGGGUAAAGAAGGGUGAUUUUCCUCUCCCUCCAAGUGGAAUCUGUCUGAGGUUAUGAGUCAGGAGGUGAGUGAAGAUGCCGGCUUCUUCAGAGUGCUGGAGAACAGCCCUGCAUGGUGACUGGCUGGGUCACGCUGCCCCCAGGGCAGGAGGGAGGCCAGCCACCCGUUCCGGACGAGAUGGGCUUGACCCUGUGCACCACGUACCCUGUGAACUCCAGGUGGCCAUGGGCAGUGAUGUGACAGAGGAAGAUGGGUACCUGGGUGGAGGCCAUCUCUAUCUUCUGUCUCCUAUUGGGAGAAUUGUCUAGGUGCUCAACUGAAUCAUCCCACCACUGACAUCAGAGAUGGAGUCAAAUUGUUUAGCUGAUAUCCAUACUGCCAAAGUGGCCAAAGGGGCUUACGUGAGAAGUCAACAGGGAUAUUUCUUUUUUUAAAGAAAACCAUUUAUUUA
ensembl:lncRNA